UUUAGUGUCACAUAAUCCUUCAGAAAUCAUUCUAAUAUGCUGUCUUGGUCCUCAAGAAACAUUUCUUAUUAUUGUCAAUAAUGAAAACACUUGUGCUGCUUAGAAUUUUGUGGUAAAAAUAUAUAUAUAUAUAUAUAUAUAUAUAUAUAUAUAUAUAUAUAUAUAUAUAUAUAUAUAUAUAUAUAUAUAUAUAUAUAUAUAUAUAUAUAUAUAUAAUUUUUUUUUUUUUUUUUUUGUGGUGAGACACUGUAGAAAUUCUUCAUUUGAAGCUAAGCACUGGACACUUAAUAUAUUGACCUUGUUUGGUUUAACUUAAUACUUUAGACGAUGUGUUUAGAGUCAAGAAUAAACAUUUGGUUAAAGAGAGACUGACUCCCCAUAAUGAAACACUCAGUUUGCUGGAAAAGGGACAGAACUUCAUUUAGACAUCUGAUGAUGUGUUUAAUUCACAGGUUAGGUCUUUAGACAAGUAAGACUCCCUUGUGACUUUGUUUCAGGCAUCAUUCAGUGCUAAGGAAACACAAGGCAGCUGUAAGGCUACCAAAUAAGGUGGGAUUUCAGAUGGAGGAGCACAGAGAAGUGCCUUGCAACACUAAUAAGGUCAUGAGGAUUUUCUUUCAUAAGCAUAUUGUGUUCUUGGUAAGAGGAAGGAUAUCUACAUAUAGUCUUUGUUUCUCACAGACGCUUUCCCAAACUCUGAUAUCAACUACUUGUACACAACAGCAUGUGGUUCGUCUCAGGAAAGUUCUCAGCAGUUGAAAUGCAUCUCACCACUAACUCACACCAAUGACCAUAAACAGUAUAUGUCCUCAAUAUAUCAA
rnacentral:lncRNA from 1 species